GGGGGGCGCUACCAUGCAGUCGAACGGUAACAGGAAGCAAGCUUGCUGUUUUGCUGACGAGUGGCGGACGGGUGAGUAAUGUCUGGGAAACUGCCUGAUGGAGGGGGAUAACUACUGGAAACGGUAGCUAAUACCGCAUAACGUCGCAAGACCAAAGAGGGGGACCUUCGGGCCUCUUGCCAUCGGAUGUGCCCAGAUGGGAUUAGCUAGUAGGUGGGGUAACGGCUCACCUAGGCGACGAUCCCUAGCUGGUCUGAGAGGAUGACCAGCCACACUGGAACUGAGACACGGUCCAGACUCCUACGGGAGGCAGCAGUGGGGAAUAUUGCACAAUGGGCGCAAGCCUGAUGCAGCCAUGCCGCGUGUAUGAAGAAGGCCUUCGGGUUGUAAAGUACUUUCAGCGGGGAGGAAGGGAGUAAAGUUAAUACCUUUGCUCAUUGACGUUACCCGCAGAAGAAGCACCGGCUAACUCCGUGCCAGCAGCCGCGGUAAUACGGAGGGUGCAAGCGUUAAUCGGAAUUACUGGGCGUAAAGCGCACGCAGGCGGUUUGUUAAGUCAGAUGUGAAAUCCCCGGGCUCAACCUGGGAACUGCAUCUGAU
rnacentral:rRNA from 1 species